GGGCGUUUAGCUCAGCUGGUUCAGAGCAUCUGCCUUACAAGCAGAGGGUCGGCGGUUCGAAUCCGUCAACGCCGACCG
rnacentral:tRNA from 1 species